rnacentral:rRNA from 2 species
GAUCCUGGCUCAGGACGAACGCUGGCGGCGUGCCUAAUACAUGCAAGUCGAACGAACUCUGGUAUUGAUUGGUGCUUGCAUCAUGAUUUACAUUUGAGUGAGUGGCGAACUGGUGAGUAACACGUGGGAAACCUGCCCAGAAGCGGGGGAUAACACCUGGAAACAGAUGCUAAUACCGCAUAACAACUUGGACCGCAUGGUCCGAGCUUGAAAGAUGGCUUCGGCUAUCACUUUUGGAUGGUCCCGCGGCGUAUUAGCUAGAUGGUGGGGUAACGGCUCACCAUGGCAAUGAUACGUAGCCGACCUGAGAGGGUAAUCGGCCACAUUGGGACUGAGACACGGCCCAAACUCCUACGGGAGGCAGCAGUAGGGAAUCUUCCACAAUGGACGAAAGUCUGAUGGAGCAACGCCGCGUGAGUGAAGAAGGGUUUCGGCUCGUAAAACUCUGUUGUUAAAGAAGAACAUAUCUGAGAGUAACUGUUCAGGUAUUGACGGUAUUUAACCAGAAA